GUAGCGGCCGGUCUAAGUUCCUUGGAACAGGACGUCAUAGAGGGUGAGAAUCCCGUAUGUGACUGGCUUGCACCCUCCACGUAGCUCCUUCGACGAGUCGAGUUGUUUGGGAAUGCAGCUCUAAAUGGGAGGUAAAUUUCUUCUAAAGCUAAAUACCGGCCAGAGACCGAUAGCGCACAAGUAGAGUGAUCGAAAGAUGAAAAGCACUUUGGAAAGAGAGUUAAAAAGCACGUGAAAUUGUUGAAAGGGAAGCGCCCGCAACCAGACUUUGCGGCAGUGUUCGGCCGGUCUUCUGACCGGUUUACUCGCUGUCGUGAGGCCAUCAUCGUCUGGGACCGCUGGAUAAGACCUUAGGAAUGUGGCUCCCCUCGGGGAGUGUUAUAGCCUCUGGUGAUGCAGCGCGUCUCGGGCGAGGUCCGCGCUUCGGCAAGGAUGAUGGCGUAAUGGUUGUCGGCGGCCCGUCUUGAAACACGGACCAAGGAGUCUAACAUCUAUGCGAGUGUUCGGGUGUCAAACCCCUACGCGUAAUGAAAGUGAACGGAGGUGGGAACUUUUUGUGCACCAUCGACCGAUCCUGAUGUCCUCGGAUGGAUUUGAGUAAGAGCAUAGCUGUUGGGACCCGAAAGAUGGUGAACUAUGCCUGAAUAGGGUGAAGCCAGAGGAAACUCUGGUGGAGGCUCGCAGCGGUUCUGACGUGCAAAUCGAUCG
rnacentral:rRNA from 1 species